CCUUCUUCUUCUGUCGGUCGUUCCUCUUCCUCUACCUCUUUUUCCUGUUCUUCUUCUUCUUCUACCACCGACUCCUUGUCGGUUAGGGUGGCCGACGUGCCACUUUAGGUAGAGGCUGUUAGGGGGGAUGAUCCGGUCAAUGCUGUUGACCGGUCGGACUCUCCCCCGACGGCCACCUAAGGUGGUUAAGAUCUCGUCCAACU
rnacentral:lncRNA from 1 species